GGAGCACCUGGAGAGGGAGAGGAGAGGAGAGGAGAUGCUUCUCCUCAGGGUGACACGCUGCCUUCUGGCCUGGACCUGCACCCAGUUCCUGGUGUCCCUCAUGCACCUUUCCAUCCCUGCUGGAAGCUGUCCCUGCCUGGAGACUGCCAAAGGGAUGGAGUUGGUCAGAAGUGGUCUCAGCCUGACUCAGAGUCCUCAUCUGAAAGGCAGAAGAAGCUCUUGGAGGGUGUGGAAUUGCCAACAUUCACAAGAGUUGGGCUGAUUUAUCAGCCUGAUUUCUUUGGUCUGUUCAUCUGGGGCUGUUUGGGGUGCAGGGGAACAGAGCCCCACGUGGGAGCAGCCAGGAGGAGGGGAAAGCUGGAAGCAGAAAUGUGGGGUCAGAGCAGAGGCUGACACUGGGACAGGGAAACACGGCAGCUGAUGCAAGAAGGAGAGGCUCUUGGUGACCAAUAAAUCCAAUUAAACCAGACUUUUUUUGGCUCCAAGGGGUACCAGCAGAGAUUUUAACGCUGUCCUGAGCCCUGCUGAGAGCCCCCAGCCCUGCUGGAGUGUUUACUGCUCUCCUGCCUGUCUGUGGGAGCAGCAGUGCUGUCUCUGCUGUGUUGUCUCUCACAUGCAUCCGUGGGCGUCCUGUGCAAAUCACAGCUUGUUUACUUACCUUUCACAGAAACCUAGGAUGAAGUGUGCCCACAAAAGGAAUUAAAAACUUAGCAAGCAGGAAGGCAAAAUUGUCCUUUUCCAGGGAAGACAUUGAGGAUGACUGGCAGUCCUCAGUGUGUACCUGCGCUGCGUCUGGAAAAUAUUUUGACAGAAAAAGCUGAAAGCA